ACGGAACUCGAGCCGAGGAAUCAUAGGUCCAGGCGGUGUCGAAAUGGGUCUAUAGCUCUGCCUGAACUGUCGUCCAAUUGGUUUACAAGUCCGGCUGAAGUGACAGGCCAUCAAAAACUGUACAGUGUGACUGAUUCGGAGACGGCCCUCAACACUCGCCCAGUCGUGUCGAGAGGAUCGGUGUCUUUGCAGAUUACACGGAAUUGAGCACCCGGGCCAGACUGACACUUUCCGGAGCCUGCCCUAGACGGAACUCGAGCCGAGGAAUCAUAGGUCCAGGCGGUGUCGAAAUGGGUCUAUAGCUCUGCCUGAACUGUCGUCCAAUUGGUUUACAAGUCCGGCUGAAGUGACAGGCCAUCAAAAACUGUACAGUGUGACUGAUUCGGAGACGGCCCUCAACACUCGCCCAGUCGUGUCGAGAGGAUCGGUGUCUUUGCAGAUUACACGGAAUUGAGCACCCGGGCCAGACUGACACUUUCCGGAGCCUGCCCUAGACGGAACUCGAGCCGAGGAAUCAUAGGUCCAGGCGGUGUCGAAAUGGGUCUAUAGCUCUGCCUGAACUGUCGUCCAAUUGGUUUACAAGUCCGGCUGAAGUGACAGGCCAUCAAAAACUGUACAGUGUGACUGAUUCGGAGACGGCCCUCAACACUCGCCCAGUCGUGUCGAGAGGAUCGGUGUCUUUGCAGAUUACACGGAAUUGAGCACCCGGGCCAGACUGACACUUUCCGGAGCCUGCCCUAGACGGAACUCGAGCCGAGGAAUCAUAGGUCCAGGCGGUGUCGAAAUGGGUCUAUAGCUCUGCCUGAACUGUCGUCCAAUUGGUUUACAAGUCCGGCUGAAGUGACAGGCCAUCAAAAACUGUACAGUGUGACUGAUUCGGAGACGGCCCUCAACACUCGCCCAGUCGUGUCGAGAGGAUCGGUGUCUUUGCAGAUUACACGGAAUUGAGCACCCGGGCCAGACUGACACUUUCCGGAGCCUGCCCUAGACGGAACUCGAGCCGAGGAAUCAUAGGUCCAGGCGGUGUCGAAAUGGGUCUAUAGCUCUGCCUGAACUGUCGUCCAAUUGGUUUACAAGUCCGGCUGAAGUGACAGGCCAUCAAAAACUGUACAGUGUGACUGAUUCGGAGACGGCCCUCAACACUCGCCCAGUCGUGUCGAGAGGAUCGGUGUCUUUGCAGAUUACACGGAAUUGAGCACCCGGGCCAGACUGACACUUUCCGGAGCCUGCCCUAGACGGAACUCGAGCCGAGGAAUCAUAGGUCCAGGCGGUGUCGAAAUGGGUCUAUAGCUCUGCCUGAACUGUCGUCCAAUUGGUUUACAAGUCCGGCUGAAGUGACAGGCCAUCAAAAACUGUACAGUGUGACUGAUUCGGAGACGGCCCUCAACACUCGCCCAGUCGUGUCGAGAGGAUCGGUGUCUUUGCAGAUUACACGGAAUUGAGCACCCGGGCCAGACUGACACUUUCCGGAGCCUGCCCUAGACGGAACUCGAGCCGAGGAAUCAUAGGUCCAGGUGUGACAAAAGACUUAAAGCUCAUGUCUGACGAUGACUUUUUUUAGUCAGGAAGCCAAGUGUGUUGUUUUUCCAUGCAAGCGAGCCCUUUUGUUGGGUCAAAUGACAUCAGCAUUGCUGCUUCUACAUGGAUUUUACCUAAAAUGUGCAAAAAAAAUAUAAAAAGUUUGUUCGAAUCCAGUUCAAAACCUGCUUUGAUGCACAAAUAUUGCCAUUGAUGAUUUUUUUCACUUAUUAAGCCAUAUGUAAGAUAAGCUUUGCCUAUUAGAAUCGAAAGACAUGCCUUGUAUGGAGUCUAAGUGCUGCAUGUAUGAUGUAACCGAGUUUGGCUUUUCUACCUUAAUUCUUGACGCGAAACGCUGUUACGCAUGGCGCUUUCAACGGCAACUUUUAUGAAUUAAUCUGUGUGUCAUUGUACCGGAACUUUGUGAUCUUUCUCAAAACAGAUUAUACCUGUGGGAAAAGUGCCUUUAAUUUAAAUUUGAAGGGGUUGGGUUCUCUUAAAGGUCACAUAACCCCAAACCGGAACUCCUGUUUUUAGGGUUACAUGCAGUCAGUUUGAUACUUAGCACACAUUGUUGAGUGCAUGCUGCCUAGGAUUUGUAAAAUACAUUGCAAAUGGUUGGUUUUGGUAUCAACUUGAAGGUAUAUUUGUAAGCAAUAAGAAAAUAAGCCAUUUUUGUGCUCUACUUUUUGUGUUGAUGGUUCCCGGCUUCGAAAGUAGGUCAUACUAUUUGAGCCCAAAAUGGUUGUCUGCACAGCUGUCAAAACCGGUUUGCCUAUUCUAAGGUAAAUAUUUUGAGUUUGCGCGUAUAGAAUUUAAUGACAUGCAUUUUUUUCAAAAGAUUAUGCAUUAAUCUUUCCAAUGAUGUAUGAUGAUAUAGUGGGUAUGCGCUUGAUCAUGGUAAAAAUUGAUAUCGAACUUCAACUAUUUUAUAUGUAAUAUAGAAGGAAAUUAAUUGCGCAUGCGUAA